GCCGAAGUGGCGGAAUUGGCAGACGCGCCAGAUUCAGGAUCUGGUGGGGUUUUCCCGUAGGGGUUCAAAUCCCCUCUUCGGCACCA
rnacentral:tRNA from 1 species